rnacentral:lncRNA from 1 species
AAAAUUGUUCUAGGAUUUAAACACAUUCCAGCAUUUUGAAAAAUACCUACAUUUGCCACAGUAGGUAUGUGUGUAAAAGUUAGGCCCACGUUAUUAUUUACCUGAUUGUUCGCACACUAUUGACUGAAUAAAACAUCUUUAUUAUUAUUACUUUCUCCUCAAUUGAGGCUAUCUUAUCAAUUUUAUUAUUUUUUAAACAAGAAAUGAUAAAAUAAAAAUUUUGACAGUUCAAAUUGUCAAUAUUUAUAAUAACUUCACUGUGGUACAUAACAUUAUGGUAAUGUGUGUGGCCUAACUUUGGCGUAUUUCUGUGAAAAAUUAUUAUAUUUUUACAAAAUUUUGGAAUAUGUUUAAUUCGUAGAACAAUUUUAACGGUUGUUUUCAAUACAGAUUUCAAUCCUUUAGAAAUGUGUUUUGAUAUAAAAUAAUUAGGGAAGCAGGAAUUCUACAGUUUAAAAUUUUACAUUGAACAUGGCCCGUUUUCCAAUUCACCAUUCGGUAUAAAAAUUUUAGACAGGUAUUAUUUUUACCAUUAACAACAAAAAACCUUAUCUAAUAAAUUUAAUAUCCAGAGAGACGGUUGAGUUAAAUGAGUUGAGUUUUGAAUGAAAUAUUUGCAAUUAAACAUCAUUAAAUGUUCUCUUUAUUUCCCCCUGUAACUUCUUAAAAUGAACAUAGAAGUUUUCAGGGACUUUCGGCCCUCAGUAAUAAUGUAAUCUUUCAUUCUGCGUUUAAAUUUUUCAAAAAUAUUCAUUAUAUUUCUCAUGAUUUGAAAAAAAUGAAUACAUUUAAUAAAACACAUUGAACAUUUUGACAGGCGACAUUUUCCACCUAUGUCUUUAAUAUUUCAGCAGUUUCGAAUUUUAUUGUAAUACAUGAUAUUUAAGUUCCACACUUUUUCACUGUUAAAGUUAUUCAUUUUGUAUUAAUUUCAAAUUUUAAAUUUUCCAGUGUGUUUUAUUUAUUAGUAUCCUACAACUCUAAAAGAGUUUUGUGCUACACUUUACGAGAAACCCUUCACACUUCUCGAUUUUAAAUUAAACUAUGUCUCGAUUAAAUCAUGUCUAGAGUUAUUAUCUGUCAUUCAUGUCAUAUCUGUCAUAAAUUAUAAUAGAACACGAAUUUAUUUAUGGGUACUUAAUGAGAUGAUGGAACAUUACAAAAUUAAUAAGAGAAUUUUUUAGGAUGCAUGUUUAAAUAAAUGUGACUGACUAAUCAAGAUUGCUCGAUGUUGUUUUAAUUUUUAGUAAACCUACUAAAAACUUGCGAUCUGCCGCACAGCCCUGCUUUUAGCUGGUUUGAUAUAAUAUUUUAGUUGGACUGGCAACGUUGCCUAGAAAUAAGAAUGACAUAUGUGACAAGACCAAUUUACACAACUAGAAAAACACGAUUUUCGGUUAUAAGACUUGUACCAGUUUUUUUGACGCGAAGUGUACAUCGUAUGUGCUAUUAUCAUUAUUAUAAUUAUAUUUAGUACAUUUAUUUCUACUAGCCACUAAUGAUCGGUUAUUAGAAUAUCCCAGUUAUAGUAUUAUUUUUGAUUGGCACGAAGGCUAUAAAACAGUAUUGCUACCUGAGAACUAUUAUACCCUAACAACACACAACAUUCCAGGAAUGUACUACCAAAGUUCUAUCAAUAUUUGAAUGUCCUGGACAUUUAGGGAACAUUCGGUGAACAUCUGUUUAAAUUAUUCCUGGAAUGUUACCAUAAGACAUUCUGUGAACAUACUACCAAUGUUCCUAUAUUUUAAGUUGCGAAAUAAUACAUACGUGUAACAGAUACAACAUUACUUAUAACAUACCAGACAAACUAAGUGACAUUUUAGGCCUACAGUGCAAUAAUAUGUCAAAUUUAAAGAGUUUCCCAAGUUCAAUUAAUACAAUAUUAUAAACAUACAAAUGUAAUAAAAAUUAUUGGUCGCGAAUAUUCAAUUUGGAAUGCGAUUUUGUUAAUAAAAAAAAUACUUAUAACUUAUGCAAAACCCAAGAUGCAUUAUAUUUAUUUCUUUUGCGUUCAUUUUCAAAUUCGCCGUGCAUAUAUUUUUGUGCAUGGCGCUUGAGAGGGCAUCACGUGCCAAAAAGCGACCAACCAACGACCUCGCUUCGGCCAUCUUGGCAUCUUCAUCUUGGCCUUGGCCACCUUGCCCGGCCUUGCCUUGCUGUGAAUCGUUGUUUGUAUUAUUUGUGCUUUUUAAGAAUAUUUUUUUAAUUCAGAUACUUUUAUAAUAGCUUUAAUAGUAUUAUUAACAUAGUGCAUAAAAUGGUGUCCUGUUUUUAACGCAGUUGGAGUAGCAGAAACAAAUGUAGAUAAAAAAAUCUGCAGGAAUAACGUUUCAAUUAUUAUGACAGAAGCUCGAAACAAAUGACUGAAUGAAAAGCCCUAUUAAAAGCUUUCCAGAAGAUCCUGCGAAGAAGACAUGAAGUAUAGAUCAGAUUUGUUAAUAGAGGAGUAUGUUCAAAACACUUUUUAGAAAAAGAUAUUGACAGAACUUCACUUUCAUCUGUUCGUUUGAGAGACUGUGCUGUUCCAAUAGCUUAUGUCACACAGAAUCAGCUGAGAGAAGUGGUCUACAAAAAACCAGAAAGGAAACGGAAUAUGUGGCUACGAAAAGCAAAAGAAAGGUUUACAAAGCAAAUGUGACACAUUUUUUUAUAAUAUUUAGGAAUGUCAGUAAAUUACAUUAAAAAAUGUAUGUAAAGAUUUUUUGCAAUAAAAAUGUUUAUAUUUAUCAAGGAUGUAUUAUUUGGUAUGGCCACAUAUCGUCAGUGAUGUGACAAUACCUCCU